CUCCAGCUCCUUCUUGAGCAGAGAGGUCAGC
rnacentral:piRNA from 1 species